rfam:Ciona savignyi cont_8825, whole genome shotgun sequence.
GCUGCGAUGGCCGAGUGGUUAAGGCGUUGGACUCGAAAUCCAAUGGGAUAUUCCCGCGCAGGCUCGAAUCCUGUUCGCAGCG